rnacentral:sRNA from 1 species
AGAAAGCUUAUGCAAUGCCGCCAUGC